AUUGAACGCUGGCGGCAGGCCUAACACAUGCAAGUCGAACGAGUGGCGGACGGGUGAGUAAUGUCUGGGAAACUGCCCGAUGGAGGGGGAUAACUACUGGAAACGGUAGCUAAUACCGCAUACCAUCGGAUGUGCCCAGAUGGGAUUAGCUUGUAGGUGAGGUAACGGCUCACCUAGGCGACGAUCCCUAGCUGGUCUGAGAGGAUGACCAGAAACAUUGGAACUGAGACACGGCCAAGACUCUUACGGGAGGGAGCAGUGGGGAAUAUGGCACAAUGGGAGCAAGCCUGAUGCAGCCAUGCCGCGUGUAUGAAGAAGGCCUUCGGGUUGUAAAGUAAUGUCAGCGGGGAGGCGUUACCCGCAGAAGAAGCACCGGCUAACUCCGUGCCAGAAGCCGCGGUAAUAC
rnacentral:rRNA from 1 species